UAAGCUUUAUGAUGGAGGCUAAGUACAAGCUCAAAGAUACAAAAUUCAGUAGGGCCAGUUAACUGCCAAGUGCCAACGACAUGGUCCACCUAUUGACCUUUGGCGCCUCUCCUAUCACCUUCAACAUCUAAUCAUCUUGCUCAAUUGUUAGUGGGGUAUGUUUAAAAGUAGAGGAAGCCAAGAUUUGACAACAAGCACAGGAUUCCUUAUACCAAUUCACAUUAGUACUUGUUCAACAA
rnacentral:misc_RNA from 1 species